GUACUGUACAGUCCUGGAGUCCUCCUUGGCUGUCUGGUUUAGGAAGCAGCCCCGGCCAUUCUGUGUGCUGUAGAGCAGCGCACCCCCAGACCAGUUAAAGGCCCCCACAGUGCCAAGCAACACCUGCCCCUGCAGAGGACCGAGAGGGCACCAAGUGAGUGGGAGGGACCCAGGGGCCAGAGAAGCAAAACUUCCUGGACAAAGAGGGUCUUCAGCGGCCAGGAAGGAAGACGGGUUGGCAAAUACUGGGUUUUCUGCUCCAUUCUCAUGAGUCCGGUGAGUAACCCAAGCUCCAGAAGGUACCCUGGGACCCAGAUUUUGAGCAUUUUUGAACAUAUGGUCGAGUAAGAUGGUACUCUUAACCUCCCCCUUUGUCCCCUGUGCUGUGUGAAGGUACUGUAUCCUGCAGCAUGAACCUAUGGGGGGGGGGGCGCUUGUUAGUAUGUGUGGUGUGUGUGGUGUGGUGUGUGUGUGUGUGUGUGUGUGUGUGUGUGUGUGUGUGCGUGUGCAUGCGCAGAUGGCAUCUCUCACCUGCACAGAGGCCCCAGUUAGUGGGUGCUCUGUCUAUUGUUCCCCUCCUUCUUCCUCCUCUGCUUCCUCUUCUCCCACACACUGGACAAAGCUUCAGCUUUAUCAAACCACUUGUUUUCCUGACACACUUCGUUGUUUUGUUUUGUUUUGUUUUGUUUUGUUUUGUUUUGUUUUGUUUUGUUUUGUUUCUUUUUUUGAGACAGGGUUUCUCUGUGUAGCCCUGGCUGUCCUGGAACUCACUCUGUAGACCAGGCUGGCCUCGAACUCAGAAAUCUGCCUGCCUCUGCUUCCCGAGUGCUGGGAUUAAAGGCGUGCACCACCACCGCCCGGCUCUCCUGACACACUUCGACCAAAGCCGAAUCUCAGUCCAUACAGCUAAAAGAAUGUCCCAAUCCUUUAAGCACACAAGGUGACCUCCUAUAAUAAAUCACUAUUCUCUUGUCUAUCUCGGUGGUCCAGACUGGGGAAGCUAGGCUCCUCCCACAGGGAAACUAUGAAGCAGGAGCCCCCCAGCCCCCAGUGGCACAUCUUGGGGAACCUGCCGGUGCUGAGUGGGCCACAAACCUUGUCCAGGAUCUGGGCACUGAAACCAGUCUGUGCGAGUUGAUAUUGAAGGGCAUCUCCAACUGUACCUGGAAGCCAAGGAAGCUGGUGAAACGCUGUGCCAACUGGCAGGGUAAGGCACGUCUAGGAGGGGCCGGCUGGGCCAGGCCCCCAGAGGGAUGGCUAUGCUAUUUGGAGGAACAGUGCACUGAGCUGAGAACAGAGAUCUGGGUUGUGCUUAAGUAAGUACUGUGGCUGAGCCUGGGCAGAUCACGUUGUCUGCCUGGGCCUCUGUCUCCUCCUCUGUAAGUGCCUAUUGGGAUUCUGUUCUAGUCUUAAUUGCUUUUCUACCACUGGCUCAGCAGAGCUUCAUAGAGUCAGGGAGGGGAGCAGGGCUGGGGGUGCCAUUGCCAUUUUAGAGGUUAACAGCUUAUGUCUCUGGGAGGUGGUCUCGAGGAGGAUGUCCUGCUGAACGCUGGGGCGUUCUCACAAGGUCCGUGGGAGCCCUCACCUUCCAUAUGAACGAUGUGUUGUUGCAGCUUGCUCAGCAGCCCAUCCAGAGCUGAGUAGUUGGUCACCUUGAAAGUGUGGGCCUCUUUGGGGUCUGAGGCAAUCAGCUUCAGUUCUCUGUAAGUGUUGUUAUUCUUGAAUGCAUCACCCACCUGCAUGAAGACCCCAGUCAGUGAGUGAUCCAUCACCGUCUCCUUCCUUCCUUCCUUCCUUCCUUCUUCCUUCCUUCCUCUCCCUCUUUCCUUUCUUGCUCAUUGCCCUUCACUCCCAAUAAAGCUCCACUUUUGGCAAUGUGUUCCUGACACACCUGUAUCUCCUCAGCAUCCCCUCCCCACCUACAGAGCCCGAUGACUCUCCCCUGUGUAUUAGGCCAGAUGUUCAUGUUAGCUACCAGGACUCAUCUCAGUGGUCUCCCUAGGAACCUUUGUACAGGCUCUCCCCAUCCUGUUCAGCCAGUGAGCUAUGCCCACCUCAGGAUGAGCCUUCUGUAGGACCCAAGAAGGAGGGAGGCCUGUAAGAGCAGGUGGCCAGGAGAAGAGGAGUAACUGUGAGUAGAGAGGGUUUGGAUAGGAUACACAGUCUCCACUGGGCUGCUCCCUUACCCAGUCUAUACAGAGUCAGGUUUGCCUCCCAGCUCUUAGUGCUUACCCCAAUGGCAAAGCGCACAACACCCUGCAUCUUUGGGGAGUUGAUGACAGUCGUAAGAUUGAGAGGGUCCCCAAAUAUGUCACCAUCAGUAAGUACCACCAUGACCUUCAAUGCUUUUUUUCUGGAGCCACGGCUUGGAAUGAAGAUAUUGUCUCUUAACAGGAGAGAGAAUGGGGACAAUUGUCUGGAAGGCUCUGGGUAAGUUUUCAUUCACUGAUCAGCUAAAGUUAAGGAGCCCCUGCCCCGGAAGAGGGCGGAUUUGCAUCACACAGCAAGGCAUAAGCUGCACAGCUACACUUCAUCUGCUCCACAUUGUAAGAGCACCAUGUCUGCCCCAUUUAUGUGUACCCAGUAUGGAAUUUUAGGUUAAAAGAACAGUCAAUAUUUAAUUUUUAAUUUUACUUCUAUAAAAAAUUGAAUUUUCUGAGUUUCUUGCUUGUUUGUUCUGUGGGGUUUUGUUUGUUUGUUUGUUUUGACUUUUGUUUGUCUGUUUUGGUUUUUGGGUUUUGUUUUUGUUUUUUGAGGCAGGGUCUCUCCGUGUAGCCCUGGCUGUCCCGAAACUGGCUAUGAAGAUCUGUCCUCAAAUUCACUUUUGGGGUUUGAGGCACAACUUCCCAGCCUCCUGAGUGCUGGCAUUAUGGAUAUGUGUCACCUUGCCUAGUUUCAGGUCCUUAUGCAUCAGGCACUAUUAUAAAUAUAGUGCAUAAUUUAACUAUUUAAUUCUCACAAAAUCCUAAGAAGCAACAAUUUGUGUUAUCUUCAUGUUAGAAGUGAAGAAGCAAAGCACAGUGGUGGCGCAUGCCUUUAAUCCCAGCACUUGGGAGGCAGGGGCAGGUGGAUUUCUGAGUUCAAGGCCAACCUGUUCUACAGAGUGAGUUCCAGGGUAGCCAGUGGCUAUACAGAGAAACCCUGUCUCG
rnacentral:lncRNA from 1 species